UACCCCUGAAACAGGCGAAGGGACACCUUGGUGUUGGGAUUGUUCUUAUAUCAGUCAGGGACAGAGCAGGUGGCAGUCCUUUGUACAUCCUAGCUUGAUGCCUGACUUGGUGGCCAAAGCUGUUUUAUGCCUAGGACACAAAA